CUCACCUCCCACUCCUUUCCCUCAUUUUCCCUGUUUAAUAACUAACACAGCACUUCAUCUACUUCCGUAGCCUUUACUGUUGGUGUUCCUUAGCCAGUAUGCACAUUCUAUUACUCUUCUGUAUCUCUUCCUAUCAAGACGUUUAUUUUUCCUUCCAGGCUCAGUUCAAACAUUUCAUCCUCCUCGAAACCCUGCUGGAGUGUGCCUAGGACACGGUAAACCACAAUGCAUUUCGGUGAGGGGAUGAAUGAUUCAACCAAUCAAUGAAUAAACCGAUUAAUAAAAGAUGGAUUUCUUGCCUGUCUUUGAGAACUGAGAGAGGCUCAGUAAUUGGACAGAUGAAGACGUGUGGAAACAGUUUCGUUAUUACCAGCAAAGGUGAGGCUAGAGACUGUAUCAUAAACAGGUUUGUCCGGGUGGUUAAUUUCUCUCUACCCUUGCUGUUGCUUGUCCAUCCAUCCCCAGACCCCUCUGGAAAUCAAGCCUGCCUCUAGAAAACGCACUAGGAGAAGGAGAGAAAGGAACUGAAGCAGCUGCGGGUAGGCUGGCUGGAGAAAGGUGAGAGGAGGGAGCAGAUCCACACAAGCUCUAUUUCUUCUCUCAAACUUGUCCAUCAGAGAAGGCAGGAAGGCCCAAGAGCUCCCCCACCUGGAAGAGGACAAAUGGAGAGUAAGUGUCCUGUGCCCCAACACCUGACAUCUGUGUAGUCCUUUACAGAUUACAAAACACUGCUGUGCAUUUACAAGAGGAGUCUUUGAAGUAAUCCUCUAAGCGAUUCAAAUUAUGAUUGUCAUACCCACUCUAUCAAUAAGAAAAAUGAUAUUACUCAGAAUGUGGGGUCAGAGGACCCCCACCCCCCAGUCAGUCCAUGGCAGAGCUGGAAAUCAAACCAGAUUUCUAGCAAGUGUUUGAAAUCAGGUUUCAACUUGUAUACCCAACAGGUCAGGUGAGACACUCUUGCAGCCAUAGUGGUUAAUGACUCCAGGAGAGGUGAAUGGGCAGAUGGAUUGAAUAGUGCAGCAGCCUGAAGCUCAGGGACACUCCUUCAUCUAAAAAACGCUUACUGAGUACCUACUGCAUACUGCAUGCUGUGUUGUACACUGGGGAUAGAACUAUGAAUAGACAUGACCCCUGUCUUGUAAAGCUGGGGUGAAAUGGGAAGUGUCUAAGAUUCAAGAGGCUCCUUAGAGAGGGAAGCAGAGGCAGAGGUGAUGUAUGUGCACCCCAUGAGAC
rnacentral:lncRNA from 13 species